GCGGUGCCGUUGAUGAUGACACAGCGCGCUUGCAACAGCGUGCGGCACGAUUCUCACAGCAGGGCUCCAGCUCGGCCAAAAAAUCGGUCGUCGCCAUUGCAAGCUCACCGUUUGGUCUCACCACGGCCAAGA
ensembl:ncRNA mir-4987 mir-4987 stem loop